rnacentral:tRNA from 1 species
GGUCUCUUAGCUUAAUGGUUCAGAGCACUCAACUGAAAUUUGAAGAUGUAGGGUUUGAUUCCCUGUGGAGUCU